rnacentral:rRNA from 1 species
CUACGAGACGACGCUGGCGGCGUGCCUAACACAUGCAAGUCGAACGGAGUUAAUGAUUUCGGUUGUUAACUUAGUGGCGAACGGGUGAGUAACGCGUGAACAACCUGACCCAAAGAGGGGGAUAACAUUUGGAAACAGAUGCUAAUACCGCAUAAGACCACAACGUCACAUGGCGAAGGGUCAAAGGAGCAAUCCGCUUUGGGAGGGGUUCGCGUCCCAUUAGGUAGUAGGCGGGGUAACGGCCCACCUAGCCAACGAUGGGUAGCCGAGCUGAGAGGCUGAUCGGCCACACUGGAACUGAGACACGGUCCAGAUUCCUACGGGAGGCAGCAGUGGGGAAUAUUGGGCAAGUGGGCGCAAGCCUCGACCCAGCAACGCCGCGUGAGGGAAGAAGGUUUCGGAUUGUAAACCUCUGUCGCAGAAGACGAAGGAAGUGACGGUAUUCUGUGAGGAAGCCCCGGCUAACUACGUGCCAGCCGCCGC